rnacentral:rRNA from 1 species
AUUGAACGCUGGCGGCAGGCCUAACACAUGCAAGUCGAGCGAGCGGCGGACGGGUGAGUAAUGUAUGGGGACUGCCCGAUAGAGGGGGAUAACUACUGGAAACGGUAGCUCAUACCGCAUACUCUCGGAUAACACAUAUGGGAUUAGCUUGUAGGUGAGGUAAUGGCUCACCUAGGCGACGAUCCCUAGCGGGUCUGAGGGGAUGAUCAGCCACACUGGGAGUAGGACCGGGCCCGGCCUCCAAGGGGGGAAGCAGGGGGGAUAAUUGAACAAUGGGGGAAAGCCUAAUGCAGCCAGGCCGGGGGUAUGAAGAGGGCCCUAGGGUUGUAAAGUACUUUCGGUCGGGAGACGUUACCGACAGAAAAAGCACCGGCUAACUCCGUGCCAGCAGCCGCGGUAAUA